ACAUGCCUAAAACAUAGUGUUAAUGCAUCACAUCCCAUUAGAAAUCCACAGUUAAGCAUGCUCAUGCUAGAGUAGUGCUGCGAUGGGUGACCGCCCGGGAAGUGCUAGUGUUUCACAUGCC
rfam:Picea glauca, whole genome shotgun sequence.